GAUGAAGGGGAGAUGGUCAUUGGUAAAUCUUCAGAAGAUCUGAGGGCAGUAAGGAAGGAGAAGAAGUAAGUGGCCACUAAUGACAUGUUAGUGGAAGUAAGGACUCGUUCUAGCUGUGUAGCUGUCAGUGUCCAUCAAGGGGAGGCACCGGACCACGAGCUUUCUGAUUGUAAAGGUUGAGCCCUGCAGAGAUGUGUGUGGUCUCAUUUGCUUUCAGCCAGCGCCAGGAGGAGGUGGUAUUAGUUCCUGCCAUUUAUUCACGAUCCACUGAGCACCCGGACCCCUUAGUUAGCACUGAUAUGAUCCUGAAUAAUCCUAUAGUUAUCCUUCCUACUUUAUAGGUACUGCCACUCUAGGAGGUUAAGUAAUUUGCCUGUGGUUCUAAAGCCACUAGUGAUAUAGCUGGAGGUGAAAAACCAAGAGUGACGCUGAAGCCACUCAAAAUUAGAAGCCAUUCCAUUACAUACCAUGGUAAUACCUUUUCUUUGGUUACAACUUCCUGGUCCAACAUCUGUCAACGUUUAUGGUUGAAGUGCCCUUCUAACAUUAUUCCUGCCAAAACAGGUUAUGAGAAGGAUCUGCAAUGGACAAGGUGUGGCAUUUUAGAAAGAGUGGUUUGCAGUCCAAAGACUGUGAAUCAAACCUUGCCUGUGUAAUUUCAUAGAUAUGGAAGUUAUUUACUGUAAAAAUUUACUUACAUUUUGGGAAUUUCAAUUAUAAUCAUUCUGCUUUAUUCUUUGGGCAUCACUUGUGUGCAAGGGUUUUUUUUUGUUUUUUUGUUUUUUUAGAAUUAUAGGUGGAUAAUAGCUGCGGAAACUUCUUAGGAUAAAAUGUUUUGUUUCUUAUAAAAGGAAUUUCCAACGGUAAGAACCAGAAAAGCUAUUUAUUAUUUUGCUAGUAGGACAGAAAGACCAUUCUCUCUGUAUCUAAAAUAACCAGAUGAAGGAAAUAAUUUUGUUCAUAGGGACAAAAAGAACUGUUGAUAUGAGACAAGUGUCAAUAGUCUUUGACGUACAGCACUGGCACCGAAAGCUUCAACUCAUCAUUUCCACGUCGUAUGUAGCGUCAGUACAUUUAUAAAGGGAGGGCUGUGUUCUGCCUCCUAUUCUUCAUCUGAAUCCUAGCCUAGUUUUGGAAAAUGGCUGAUUCUCAUGAUAGGGAGGAAGAAUAUUCCUUAUGCUGAAAAAAGAAUAAUAUUAUCACAAGUAAAGGAAGACUAUAAAGUGCCAUGGACUUUGGGAACGAAAUUUGCUAUGAAAUGGUAUUCUUGAGGCGUCUAUUCCAUUGUGGUAAUUGUCACCAGAAUCAUUGCUUAAAAGACUGAAAGCAAAGCUCAGUUAUCUGAAAAAUCAAUGAAGAAAACAAGCAACUAUUAGGAAGUACUAGCUUGAAUAUGAAAAGCACAAAUUGAAAAACAUAAAGUUAGAUGAAGCCAUUGACCACCUUAACACCCUGCCUUUAUGGAUAUACCCCUGGGUAUGAUACACAGUUUGCAGUUUUCCACCUUUGUGAAUGACAGAAAGCUUAGAAACUAAAAAUGAUUCAAAUUAGAGUACUCAUAAGCUUCUGCACUCAUAAGUACUGAUAAGAUCCAUGGUUCCCAGAAGUGAUGGUUGAGAGGCCAAGUGCCCCUGGUCCGGCAUCGGUCUUACAGGUAUGAAUUAGUUAACAGGAAAUUUCGUGGAGCCACCCAGAAGGACUUAGUAGAAAUUUGCCUGUUUUCUAAUGACUUUAUUUUUCAGAUAUUUUUAAUUUAUUUGACUGUGCUGAGUCUUAGUUGCAGCACACGAGAUUUUCAGUUUUCACUGUGGCAUGCAAAAACUCUUUGUUCUCAGCAGGCAGCAGGGAACUCUGUUUCAUGUGGGAUCCAGUUCCCUGACCAGGGAUUGAACCUGGCCCCCUGCAUUGGGAGCACAGAGUCUUAGCCAGUGGACCGCCAGGGAAGUCCCUCUAAUGAACUUUUAAAAAGGAGUAUGCACUUUGGAGUUUUCCAUUUGUUGAACACUUGAGCUAAAGUUCCCUACACAUUCAUUGCAAUGCAUUGUCAAGAGCAAUAAAAAAUACACAGGUUUCUUCCCACCAGCUUAUUUGAAUUACUCUUUGUUGCACCUUGCUAAAGUCGUAGGUUGUGUUUUGUCUCAGUGGUGGGUGGUAAAUGAAUGGGAUUCAACAACUUCAGAAUGGGACUGGAGGUAAAAUGAGAGCCCUUGAAUCCUGGAUUAGAAUCCAGAGAUGCUCGGCAAAAAAGUCUCGUUUCCCAGCAGCUUUAUAAUCCAAAACAUCUGUUUCUAUAUUUGGCAUUAUUCCACUUUUUUGUUCUUAAAAUUGUUCCCAUCUUUCAAAACACUUUAAAAAAUAAAGAAGUCCCCAUUCUGUCUCCUCCUUCCAUUCCCCAACACAUGCAUUUGUAAUUACCUGGUUUAGUCUGUGUGUUUAAUCAACUUAAAUUGAGACGGUUACCUACAUCUGAUUUCAAUCUGAAGGAGCCCUUGAGAACCGGGCAGUCACGGCCUUGUGUCUGCCAAGAUGUGACUCUGCCAGGAAACAGACAGGACUCACACCAGGGUAUUUCCUAAAGGAGCCACUUGACUCAGAUUAGAUGUUUAAUUUCCUUAAAAUACUGUUUUGGAUCUAGGUCUGUGUUCUCUAGUUGGGAUUUUCUGAUGUAAUUUAGGAAUUUCACUUAUUUCUGAGUUUGUUCCAGGAUCCAGCUGGCAUUGUUCGAAAUGCCUAAAGCUCAAGGAAGUAAACACCCUGGGUGCUGAGUGUCAUACCUCGCUGCUCUGGAGGAUGGGCGGGCCAUGUGUGUUCAGAUCUCUGUGCACCAUUGUCCAUGCAGUAAGAUUGAGUUAAUUUUGAGAGAGAAUGGCUUCUGGUUAUGGUCAUGAAGCCUCUGAUCAGAGGCACAUAUUUUUUGAGAUAUUUUCCUGGGAAAAUUAAACUGCAGUAGAAAAAGAUUACUUUGUUCUGGUAUUGACUAUUAAUUGUAAUUAAAUUUUUAUUUAUAACAUUAGCAUAGAAAUCAAAGCUUCUAGAUUUCCUUAGCUAUGUUCACUUGAAACACCUUCUACUGGCCAGAUUGUGAGAUCUUAAAGUUUUUUUUUCCUCUUCAUUAGGCUAUCAUUUCUGAGUGGUAAAGAAAUAUGAACACAGGACUGAGCUCUUUCUAAACGUUUUAUGCUAUCAUUCUUGAGUUUAUAGGCUUCAAGGACUUGAAAGACUUUAAGAGCCGUUUAUUUGUUAGCCAAAUUAGGACGAAUGCUAAAAUUUCCUUAGCGUAUUUUGCACAGUGGUGAAAGCCACAGUCCAGGGUGAUGAGCUGACAUUCCACUGGCGCAUUUUUCAUAGGCUUAUGAGCCCACCUUAACCCAAACCACCAGCAUGCUGAAAGCAAAAAUAAUCACAGGAAACACAGUGGGGAGAUUUUUUUCGUAUCCACAUAGAGCGGGGCUUUAAAAAACUAUAUUUUAAUUGUGUUAACAGCCACAUACCUUCAGCUGGUUGGGGUUUACCAGAUUACAGUCAGAAGUUUGUUUGGCAAGAAAGUAAAACAAAGGAAAAUAAAGAAUAAAAGGAUGAAUGGUACAGAGCUAAGAUCACUGGAUACAACAUUGCACAGUGGAUGGUCUUGCCAAAGGAGGCACAAACAUCUCAAGAGGCUUCCUGAGUCCCCCCUGCUCCUAGAAGGGCCCUUAGGACACUGCCAUCGUCAGCGUGCUCCCCGAAGCUCCCCCGUUCCCCGGGAUCUGCCCAGGCAGGGGCUUUUCUGCCUAGUGCCGCUGUGCCCAGCUUCAUGGCAUGUUUAUCUCAGAGGCAGCCUCAUUUCUGCUUCUCUCACUGCUUGGAAAGCACCAGUGGAGACUCGCAGUAGGCUUGCUAGGGUGCUAAAACUCUAGACUAGAGUUUUUAAUUUCCUCUGCUUUUCUGACUGCUCAGAGCUGCUGCGGUACAAACAAGCUUCAAAGGAACUCCAUCAGCUAGAAAGUAGUAUAUGAAAAGAGAAUUGUUGUUUACCCAGCUUUAGUAGUUCUGGUCUUUUUAAAGCCAAAUUAGGUGAUCUGAUUCUCUCAUUUCACAAAUAUUUAUUGAGCACCUACUGUAUGUGUAUAUAUAUAUAUAUAUAUAUCAGGUACUGGGUGCUUAGAAAUAUAUCAGAGUAAAACCAAACCAAGGAUCCAAUCUCAAGGGAGCUAAAGUUAACAGGGAUUGUUUUUAGACUUUCCUACCAUUUGGUGUUCAGGUACAGUGAAUAAUUAAUUGCAGUAGGGAAAACUAAAUGCGUGCCCCACUCUCUGAUCUGUGCUGGAACAGGGAAUAGAAUCCUCUGUCUAGUCCACUAUAUUCCUUUGAAUCUAGUAGUUCAGUUCAGUUCAUUCACUCAGUCAUGUCUGACUCUUUGUGACCCCAUGGACUGCAGCACACCAGGCCUCCCUGUCCAUCACCGACUCCUGGAGUUUACCCAAGCUCAUGUCCUUUGAGUCGGGGAUGCCAUCCAACCAUCUCAUCCUCUGUUGUCCCCAGAGCAUUAUCAUAGUUCCUUUGUGAUUCCUAUUAGUGUCUAAAAAGAAGAAGCUUCUGCCAGGACUGGUGUCUUUGUAUCUUUCCAGGAUGGGUAUUUGCAUUAGGAGAGGAAAAAUUUCAGAUGUAGCAGUUGUUAGUAUGGUGAACAGAAAAUUUAGAUGCGAAGAUACUAAACCUAAAGAGAAGGAAUUUUACAGCGAAAACGGGAAAGGGUUUCAAACCAGUUUGUGUAGAUGUCUUAAGAGUUUGUGAAGUCUGUGCAGUCACCGCACCAAAACCUGCAUCUUCAAUGUGUUCAGCGUGUGUACAAAUACACACAUGGAUUUUUCAUUCUCUCAGUUCUUAAAAAUAAGGGGUGAGGGCAGUGCUGCCUAGUUUCUUUCUCAGAGUUUGGCCCGGUCCUGGUGCUAACGGGAGAUGU